rnacentral:rRNA from 1 species
CGUAACGCGUAUGCAAUCUACCUUUAACUGGUGAAUAGCCCGAAGAAAUUCGGAUUAAUACACCAUAGUAUAUUUGAGUGGCAUCACUUAAAUAUUAAAACUACGGUGGUUAAAGAUGAGCAUGCGUGACAUUAGCUAGUUGGUGAGGUAACGGCUCACCAAGGCUACGAUGUCUAGGGGAUCUGAGAGGAUUAACCCCCACACUGGUACUGAGACACGGACCAG